GGGAUGGUGAGGAGGAGUCAGGGUGUGUGAUUCACAUGGGCCGUUCAGACAGAGAAGAAACGAUUAGCAAUUUAUGGUUAUAAACUAGAGCUAAUGACAUCAAACUGAAAGUAGUGGCAGAUACACCAGGGAAUUUUGUUGCCAACCAAAUACCUUGACAGGCUGAGGAGAUUGAAGGACAGUACCUUAUGAUGUUCAACAAGAAGUGUAACGACCUGCAGCUGUGGAAGAAUAACUCCACACACAGGUGAGACAUAUGGGAGAUAACUUCAUAUGCUGUCUCUGACAAAGCUAAAGAAAUUCUGUAUCUCAGAUAGACAGUAAAGAUAAGGUAGUAAAGUGCUUUGAAGUGGGAAGAUCUCUGAAGAAGAACUGAGAUGAAGGCAGGAACAAGACGGUAAAAAAAAAUAGCAUGUUCCUAUUCUCAGCUCAAAGCUAAAAGGAGGAUUGUACUUGCUUGAAGCAUAAUCCUUCCUGAAAGCUGCCACAGGCAGGUUCUGUAUCUCCCAUAACUCAGGCUAUACUUAAAUAAAACAGUUUAGCCUUUAGUAUUUUCACAGAAUUUU
rnacentral:lncRNA from 1 species